CCAAGUGAUCCUAUAUUGCACAACAUGAGAACUCGAAGGGUUCAAGCUGCCAGCAUGGGCAUAUCAGAAUCAAGACAAAAGCAAGUCUACCUUAUUUCACUGAUAAACAAAGGCAGAGUUGUGGCCAAAGGGAAGUUAGUGACUACAGAUAGCCAAAGAGAAAUAUUAGGAGCAAA